rnacentral:rRNA from 1 species
UACGAAGGGGGCAAGCGUUGUUCGGAUUUACUGGGCGUAAAGGGUGCGUAGGCGGUCGGGUAAGUCUGAUGUGAAAUCUCACAGCUUAACUGUGAAACUGCAUUGGAUACUAUCCGGCUAGAGGAAUGGAGGGGAGACUGGAAUACUUGGUGUAGCAGUGAAAUGCGUAGAUAUCAAGUGGAACACCAGUGGCGAAGGCGAGUCUCUGGACAUUUCCUGACGCUGAGGCACGAAAGCCAGGGGAGCAAACGGG